GGAAAUGACUUCUUUGCAGUGCCUGCCCUGCACCACCACGGCUUCAACAAAAGGCCUGUGCAAUGUCGGCAGAGCAUGUAACUGGGGGAAACGUGCUCUGAGAAAUGUUCUUAUAUAUAGCAGAGAGGAAAGGAAUAGAGAAGUAAGAAAAAGACUGCGCUGUGGUUUUCAGGCUGCCAUUGCCCAAUUGCCUUUGCACCGUGAGGUCCUCCUGCCACGUGCCCUGUGCCUUCAUCAGGGGUGUGGAAGACAAGUAAUGCUGAUGCUUUACAGGAAUAACCUCUGAGCCACACUACAGCAGCUUCAUCUUCAAGAUACAAAAAGUCUGCCAUUAGCCUCUGCUUCCCAUAACUCAUGUUUUGGAUUGAGCUUCUCAUGCCUGGGAAAUGGGAGAACUGGAGAGAAACUGGGGAGAGAGACAAAGACAAGACUCUGAAGGCAGGCUGUCACGCAGGAACCAGGAGAAGGUAUAUUCUGUCCCUCCCAUCCUGUGGGGAUCCCAGAUGGCUGCUGUGUCAGCUGAAGUCACUCUCUGCUCUGUAACCUCUUCCUGAAGACUAGAGGAUACAGGUUCAACAGCCGGAAGCCUUCUGGGAAACUGCUUGAGAAUCAGCAGGUACCCAGGAGGUGCAAGAGGCUUUUCUUUGUAUUUAAAGUAAUACAUUUAAAGUGUAAAGUUUUCUAUCUUCCUCUAAAUUAAAGCCACUUUCUGUUUAAACAUUUACAACUCUUUCGAGCACA